rnacentral:rRNA from 1 species
AUUGAACGCUAGCGGCAUGCCUUACACAUGCAAGUCGAACGAGUGGCGGACGGUUGAGUAAUAUAUCGGAACGUGCCCUGUAGCGGGGGAUAACUACUCGAAACAGUGGCUAAUACCGCAUACCAUUCGAUCGUCCCAUGUGGUAUUAGCUAGUUGGUGGGGUAACGGCUCACCAAGGCCACGAUCCCUAGCGGGUUUGAGAGGACGACCAGCCACACUGGAACUGAGACACGGCCCAGACUCCUACGGGAGGCAGCAGUGGGGAAUAUUGGACAAUGGGUGAAAGCCUGAUGCAGCCAUGCCGCGUGUAUGAGAAGGCCUUCGGGUUGUAAAGUACUUUUAGCAGGGAAGCGGUACCUGCAGAAGAAGCACCGGCUAACUACGUGCCAGCAGCCGCGGUAAUUC